rnacentral:rRNA from 1 species
UGGGGAAUAUUGCACAAUGGGCGAAAGCCUGAUGCAGCAACGCCGCGUGAGUGAUGAAGGUCUUCGGAUUGUAAAGCUCUGUCUUUUGGGACGAUAAUGACGGUACCAAAGGAGGAAGCCACGGCUAACUACGUGCCAGCAGCCGCGGUAAUACGUAGGUGGCGAGCGUUGUCCGGAUUUACUGGGCGUAAAGGGUGCGUAGGCGGAUGUUUAAGUGAGAUGUGAAAUACCCGGGCUUAACUUGGGUGCUGCAUUUCAAACUGGAUAUCUAGAGUGCAGGAGAGGAGAAUGGAAUUCCUAGUGUAGCGGUGAAAUGCGUAGAGAUUAGGAAGAACACCAGUGGCGAAGGCGAUUCUCUGGACUGUAGCUGACGCUGAGGCACGAAAGCGUGGGUAGCAAACAGGAUUAGAUACCCUGGUAGUCCACGCCGUAAACGAUGAGUACUAGGUGUAGGAGGUAUCGACCCCUUCUGUGCCGCAGUAAACACAUU